AUGGUUUCAGUAAACCAUCCAUAGGAAACACAAGGAGCGAAGAAAAACAAUUAAUAAACCGAAGAAAAAGUAACAGCAAACAGUUGAAGGGACAUUACAAUGCUCCCCUUCACUUUUCAAUCAUCAUCCAUAGGAACCAGUUGAAACAGCUUAACCACAGUGCUCUUUCACUACAUAAUCCAGCUCUGCACAAAACAAGGUAUUAACGAAUAAGAGGAAAUGAAUCUGACCUCACCUUUUUCAGCAACUUCGCCUGAAUCAACGUCGGACCAUCCUCAAUCCAGCAAACAUCGCGUUUCCGGAGAAAUCCUUCCCGUGCUAAAAGUCAAUCCCCGAACUAUUUAAUUUUGCAAUCACUACGGCGGAGUCGCCCUCAAUCUCCACAGAACGAAAUCCUAGAUCCCGAGCAAAUUGGAUAGCCUACGAGCCAGACAAAGCCUCUACAGCCACUAUCGAAGAUCACCAUAGAAACCCGCAUCAAAGUUCACCCGAACCCAUGGUUCCACUGGCGGUCUCCAAACUUCCAAAAUAGGCGCCCUACAACCCCCACCUUCCGUCGAUAAGGAUUGCAGUUCCAAGGCAUAUCCCAAUAUAAAGGUAAGUAGUGAUUGAAUUGGCUGAUGAUAUCUUUCAUGUAUUAUUCCGUUUCUAGAAUUCCAGAUGACCCAUAUUGAUAAAAUGACAAUCUGUACACGUUGCUCUCCUUUGUCAAACAGCUCACUGAUCUAGCUCAUGAACGUCUUGUCA